UUUUUUGUAAUAAUGGAUUUCUAAGCUGUCAAGUGUAUUUACUAUCAGUGCUGUUGGAAAGAUGCUUGAAUGUCCUAGUGUAUGACUGUCUCAAACCUUGGUCUAAUGGAAUCAGUGUUAGUGGACUUCCACUCUCCAGUCCUUUUCGGCAAGUUGUCAAACCAAGAGUAGAGGCUAAACCUAUUAACCCUCAAGAGAGCAGCAAAGGUGGGGACUUCAGUCACGUGAAGAACACUUGCAAUGAAGGCAAGCAAGGGGAGUAUUAUUGUGUAAAGGGAAUAAAAAUCCAGAAAUUCACAAUUUCAACAUACCAGAUGAAUUGAAAAAGCUUUUUGUUGCACUUCAUGACCGUUCGACAGCUGUCCUGGCAACCCAUGUGAUGUUGUUGCAAGGAUGCUGGAGACCUGUAAAGCAAGAAUGUGUUCUUUAAGCAUUAUAUGGCAAAACAGUCUGUUGGGAAUGCAUGUGCUUGAUUCAGUUGGUUAGGUUUAUGAAAUACAUUUUGAAUUAAUUAUUUUGCAUUUUAUAAUCAAAGCACCUUGCAGGUAGCCAAAACUACAUUCAACAGAGAACACACACUCUGAUAACCUUAAAGGUUCCUUGCUGGUUAAUGUUACUUAUGUAUUGAGCCUGAUUUGUGACUGUUGUACAGCUCAUGUUUUAUGCUUGAAUUGAAUGAUUUAUAGUGCUACCAUCCCUUCUAGAACUGCUUUACUUGCUAAGACUGCAUUUUUUGUGAACUAUACUUAGAAGAGAAUCAACAGGCAAAAUAAAACUCAGAGUGUUUAAGAAGGCCACAGAACAAAACUCUGAAGGAAGUCUGUGCCAUUACAUAUCUAAUUACUUGAAUUAUAGUGUUCUGGUAACUUACUUGCAGGCAGAUCUUCAUGAGAGGAAAGAUGUGAUUUAUAUUUUUCCAAAAUUAAAAAAAAAGGAUUAUUGUGGAUGAGGAGAGAGAAUGCCAUAAUAGAAUAGCACCAUCUAUAUGUCUGUAGACUGAUCUUCUGUUAGGUUUUAACAAAUCUCUAUUUCUGUAACUUGCAUUAAUGUUUAUCGCGUUGUUAUAAAUAAAAAAGUUAUCUCGGGUUGUCCCUGUCAGGUCUCCCGAGUCCUUCAUCAGUCAUUUGAUGUACCUGGAUUAAAAAUGUCUGUGUAGUUCAAAAUCUCUCAAAAACAUUUUUAGUUUCCACAAACUAUCCACAUAAUUACAUCUCUGUGUAUAUGAACAUAACUGGCUGGUACUGGCCAAGUGGACAGAAGAAAUCCUGAGUAGAUUUGUCUAUUUGCAUGAUUGUAUUACCUUUGACUACUAGUCAUUGUGUGAUAAGAUGAUGUAUCCAGCUGCCUACUAUUUCUGUUCAUUACUGUUUUCUUCUCUUCACAUCUUCUCUCUUCAGGUGAAAAACCAAACCAAAACAAAAACCAGUGGCUUAAAAUUAAAGUCAGGUGAAUUCCAAAUUAAAAUACCAGUUAGUUAUUGUAGAUAAUGGGGUGAAUUUACCAUUUAGAAAUGCAGUCAGGAUGUGUCUAGGCUGGGUUCUGAUGCUGUGUUUUUGUUUUCAUCUUGCUUGACUUCAGGCUGGAUACCUUUCAGAAUAAAUAAAUAUAUGUUUGUUGCCAAAUAUAAAGGCUUUUGCUCAGUGGGUACAUAGUUGUCUAAAAUGUAGCAAGCUGGGAUACAUAAGAGAGAGAUGGUCCAAGAUUCACUUUGAACUUGAAUCUCAAAAUAUUGCAUAUUUAUGAAUCUGUCUGAAUACCCUGAACCUUCCUCAGAAGGUACUUCAGCUUCUCUUUGUUGCUGCAGAGCAAUUCAAUGUGUGACCUAUUGCUUUUUGUCCUGCACAGUGCCAUCUGGGACAAGGACUGGAUUUUAAGGUUUGCCUUGUAACAGCCAGUUAAUGUGGUUUGACAAGGUAACAAACAAUUGGGGAAUGUCAAAGUUAAGAAACAAGAUCUUAGAGAAAUUGGAUAUGCUGUGAAUAUGAUCUGAUAUCAUUAAUUCAUGAUUUAGGAAUAGGUGAUAGUUGUGAAUAUUCAGGAAUAGUAGUGGUUUUUCAGCCAUGUGUGCUGUGUGUUAGCCAGUCUUCAGGUAAAUUUUUGCAAAUGAAUGAUGAUAUAAAAUCAGUAUUUCUCAUGUUGCUGUUUCUGAAAUGUCCUUGUUAUAUUUUUAAGUCUUGAUGCUUAAAUCUUCCUCCUUUUUGCUUCAAUACAGAAUGUUGCCAGUAUGCACUUGAACUUCUUAGCAAUCUUCGUUUUCAAUUUUGCUACAGGCUGUCUUCUAAUACCAGUCACAAGCUUCUGGAAAUGAGUGUUAUAACGAUCUCAUAAAUUUAGUAUAAAAAUUGCUUUAUGGUCUCAUCAUAAAGCUUGCUUACACCCUCAAGCUGAAAAGAAUAUCACAGUAUAAUAUUAUGUUCAGAUGUACUCUCUUUUUACUGUUAACUGCUGAGUAAUUUGGUAAGCACUGUCCUAAAAUCCUUGAUCAUUCCAGUGUUUGUCUAUACUGCAGGAUGAGCGCUCACUGUGGUUACACUGCUAGGUGAAAUAGUCUAUUUUAAAGAACUGCUGUGUUCCUUUGCUAUCAGUGAAUGGUAUGAAAUGUUAAACUAUUAUAUAUAGAACUAAUCUAAUUUAAUACACUGUCUGUAGCGUCUCUUAUCAGGUUUAGACAGCAUGUAUUAAAUAAGAUACUGGACUUGUUUGGAUUUUUCCAUGCAGUUCUCAGGUGAUGCUCUUGAAACUAUGAAAGUAUCAAAGUGUGCUAUUGAUUGUGAUAAUGUUUAUGUUGCUGAUGCUUUAAGCUCAAAAUCAUUUUACAUAUGUACCUUGAAUCUAUUUUAAGUUUAAUCCGUAAAUAGAACAUGUAAGUCUUAGAUUUUUGUAGCAGUUCUAGACUGUGAAGUUAGUGGGGAUGUUGAAUCUGCAGAACACUCUUGAUAUUUUAGAUUCCUUCUUUUUAGUUACCUAAGGGUUGUUAAGCACUGGAAUAGGCUCCCCAGGGAGGUGGUUGAGUCACAUCACCAUUUGGAUGUGGUGCUCAGGGACGUGAUUUAGCGGAGGGUUGUUAGAGAUAGGUAGUAUGGUUAGGAUGUGGUUGGACUCAAUCUUUAAGGUCUUUUCCAACCUGAGCGAUACUAUGAUUCCAAAUGUGAAUUUACCAAUGGGAUCUUAGAAACAAAAGUAUAAUACCAGUUAGGCGUUCUACUUCAAUGUUGUCCCACUUUGGAAUUCAGUACUGUGCGUGUAAAUUUUGUGGAUUUGAGUCCUCCAUUGAUAUUACAACAUCAGGUCUUGUAAAGAAAAAUAUUGCAGUUGCGAGUUUCUAAUAAAUUUAAAACUAAUGAAAGAGACAAUAAAAAUGUGAAACAAAGCUCUUUCACUUCCCAAGUUGAUUUCUAUUAGCUUUUUUUUUUUAAUUUAUUAUUGGUUAAUUGAAAUUUGUGAGCUAGGUGUGAGAAAACAAGUCACAUUUCUUGAAAUAUACUCAAUAAAGACCCAUGAACCAAAUCUACAUUUCCCAGCUCAGCAAUGUGGUCUUUGUUGCCUUUUUGGCUGAGGGUAGAUUUGUUCUGCAAAAAUGACAGAAAUUUGAUCUCUUGAUCAUUGGAACAUGGCUUGCAGAAGCUUAUUCUGAUCUGAAAUUGGAUGAAAACCUGCAGUGUUUGAAUAGACUGGUUCUAAUGGCUUUUAACUUUCCUUCCCUCCCCAGUUUGGCAACAUUCCUUUAAGUGCUUUUAGGAUUCUAUAAACAGUUGAGUAUUCUGCACUAUUUCUGCUUACCAGCUAUAUUCUUCUGUGCAUUGUUGCAUCUAAAGAUGCACACUCUGAAGCCGUGGAGAGGACUAUACUUCAGAACACCAAGUAAGUGUUCUACAAACAGUAUUCUCUGGAGCCAUGGGAAAAAAAAAAAAGCUAAUUCCCCUAGAUUUGAGUAAACUCAAUUCAUUCAUACCACCUGGUAUUUUACAUUCAGUACUACUGCAGUAGCAGAAAUUUCAAUUCCGAAUGUUUUUCAACUUUGAGUACUUCCUUUUUUUCCAUCUUGUUUGACAUGAAAGAAGCAUCAUUUAAAUUUUGUGUUGUAAUGAUAUGAAAGUUUUAGAUAGAUUCACUGUGUGCCUGUCAAAAGCACCGUUUUCUCCAGGCGUUGAUUAAUUGUCACUCAGUAGCAAGGGGUGCUAGCCUACUUAAAUCCAAACAAGUAUCUCAUCAAGGAUAGUUGCAGCAGAUACAACCUACUGCGUAAAUCAUACUUUCUGUCAUUCCCUCUUGUCUGAAGAUCGACAGUGAAAAAUUGAAGUUGACAUCAAGACAAUGAAUAAAGCUUAUGUGAACAGUAACAGAUCCUACAGUCACGAAAACUUUCCCAAGGGGUGAUAUUGCCAUAAUUCGCCUUGGUGCUCAACCACAAAAAUAUUAUGUUGCUAUAGUUAGUGUCUGUUAGCAUCUCUUGAAAUUAAUGAUUUGUGGUGGUUUUAUCUUCAAUUGCUAGUCAUUAAUAUAUGGUCAGUGUCCAUCAGCAGCAGACAUCAUUUGUGUAUAUCUGUUACUUUUUUUCUGAGAUGUUCUAGUGCUGUUACAUUGGAAAUUUUUCAGACCAAAUUGUGAGGAGAAGCACUUCUCUCUUAGCUGCCAUUGUAUGUACAUAUGUAUGAUUUGAAUUUCGCUCUUGCAAAUUAUUGCAUGCAUUGUUUUCCUCUCUUCCUGACUUACCUUACCCUGUUCUCACGAAGAAUAUUCAGACCAGAAAACAUGUUAAAUUCACUGAAUCACCCA
rnacentral:lncRNA from 1 species